rnacentral:rRNA from 1 species
AUGGCUGGGGGUAGCAAUAGCACAGAUGCAGCAACCAAGGAGAUGGAGGCAUUGCAUGUUGGGCAAACUCAGGAAACCAAAGACACUCUGAAAAAGGCAUCUAGUGUAGAGUCGGAUGCAAUCUCAUCAAAAGAACUCAAGGUUGGAUAUAGUAGUGGUGGGACUCCCGAAGCUCAGUCCUCACCACGAGAACAUGAUGAUGAUGCGCAAGUGGAUGAUCCUUCAGAAGAUGGAGCAGCAGCUUCGGCUGCAAAGAAGAAAAAGAAGAAAAGCAUGGCCAAAAAGAAGAAGAACCCUCUUCAGCAGACAGAUCCUCCGUCAGUCCCUGUUGAUGAGCUUUUCCCUUCAGGAGAUUUUCCGGAGGGUGAAAUCCAGCAAUACAAGGAUGAUAAUUUAUAUAGAACAACUAGUGAAGAAAAGAGAGAAAUGGAACGACUACAAAAACCAAUGUAUAAUUCUAUUCGUCGGGCCGCAGAAGUUCAUCGACAGGUGCGUAAAUACAUGAGGAGCAUUGUGAUGCCUGGAAUGCUAAUGGUUGAACUAUGCGAAACUUUGGAAAACUUGGUUCGGAAACUUAUCAAGGAGAACGGACUACAAGCGGGUAUUGCCUUUCCAACAGGAUGCUCCUUAAAUUGGGUUGCAGCUCACUGGACUCCAAAUUCUGGUGAUAAAACUGUACUACAAUAUGAUGAUGUGAUGAAGCUGGAUUUUGGGACACAUAUAGAUGGGCACAUAGUUGAUUCUGCAUUUACUGUCGCCUUUAAUCCCAUGUUUAAUCCGUUGCUUCAGGCAACGAGAGAUGCCACAAAUACUGGAAUCAAGGAAGCUGGAAUAGAUGCACGGCUUUGUGAUGUCGGUGUUGCAAUCCAAGAAGUCAUGGAGUCAUAUGAGGUUGAAAUUAAUGGGAAAGUUUUCCAAGUAAAAAGUGUACGAAACCUCAAUGGACAUGGCAUUGGACCAUACCAAAUCCAUUAUGGGAAAUCAGUUCCAAUUGUAAAAGGCGGAGAGCAAACAAAAAUGGAGGAGGGUGAAUUUUAUGCCAUUGAAACUUUUGGGUCCACAGGAAAGGGAUUUGUGAGGGAGGACCUGGAAUGCAGUCAUUACAUGAAGAACUUUGAUGUUGGCCAUGUGCCAUUGAGGGUAGCAAAAGCUAGGCAGCUACUCACGACAAUCAACAACAACUUUGGAACCCUUACAUUUUGCCGCCGAUACUUGGACCGCAUUGGUGAGACCAAAUAUCUAAUGGCACUGAAAAAUCUCUGUGAUGCUGGCAUUGUGCAGCCGUACCCUCCAGUGUGUGAUGUGAGGGGAAGCUAUGUGUCACAAUUUGAACACACCAUUUUGCUUCGACCAACCUGUAAAGAAGUCAUAUCCAGAGGCGACGACUAUUGA